CGGGGCUUGACGGAAAGCGGGUGUGAAGAAGCCUGCGCCGGAGUUGUGCAUGGAGGAGGUCAUACUCCGAAGUCAGGGCGAAGGAAUUUGGGGGCAAAAAAUCCAACUGUCCUGCACUGCUGCCAUGAAAGUGGAACAAGACUGUGAACAUGGAGAAAACUCGGCAAACCUGAACGAAAUGCUGCUUAACCAACUGAGGGAGAUCACUGGCGUUCAGGACAUGCAGGUUCUUCAGAGCGCCCUUAAUGCAAGCCAGUGGGAUGUUAGCCAUGCUGUUGGUCUUCUCACAACACAAACAUCAGAGGAGGAGCAGGCGCCUGAAGAAUCUUCUACUGUCGACCAGAACACAGAAGCCUCCAACGUACACAACAGUAAGAGCUCACAUGAAAAAUUGUAACUUUUUUUAUAUAUAUCUUUAAAUAUAAAUACUUUUUGUUAUUUGUUUAGUAUGAUUCAAAUGGUUUUGAGAAAUGUGAAGAAAAUGGC
rnacentral:lncRNA from 1 species